UACGUAGGGGGCAAGCGUUGUUCGGAAUGACUGGGCGUAAAGGGUGUGUAGGUGGUUUAGCAAGUUAGAUGUGUAAUACCCAGGGCUUAACUCGGGUGCUGCAUCUAAAACUGUUAGACUUGAGUACUGGAGAGGAUAGUGGAAUUCCUAGUGUAGCGGUGGAAUGCGUAGAUAUUAGGAGGAACAUCAGUGGCGAAGGCGACUAUCUGGACAGCAACUGACACUGAGGCACGAAAGCGUGGGGAGCA
rnacentral:rRNA from 1 species